CUUUUUUAAAAAAAAAAGUACUGAAAUCAGUUCACAACAGCAUGGACCGAGUGAAAAUCUAAUCUCAGAAGAAAAUGAUUGAAUAUAAAAACAUCCUGAAGGACGUGCAAGAUAUAUUUAGGUGAUGCAUUACAAUCCAUACCAAGCUCUAGGUAAAAUACACGAAUACUUACGGACACAGGCACUGCACAACAUUUUAUAUAUGCACAUCAGUUUUUUGAACGUUUCUUUCAACUGUUUUCUAUUACUGCAUGUAGAGUUCAGGAUCUUAGGAACCAAAAAAAAAUCAUGCGCGUGGAGACGGAUUCUUUCUGAAGAGGGCAUAGGCAUCACUGUAAAUGGCCACCAAGCUUGAGAAAAAAGCAAGAAAAAUCAGGAACACAGACACGACCUUAUCCUUCUUUGAUGCUAUCAAAUGGGGAUCCCUCAGGGCAAUGGCAGCUGGGAAGAUAAAUCCAAUGCA
rnacentral:misc_RNA from 1 species